UACGAAGGGGGCUAGCGUUGCUCGGAAUCACUGGGCGUAAAGCGCACGUAGGCGGACUCUUAAGUCGGUGGUGAAAUCCUGGAGCUCAACUCCAGAACUGCCUUCGAUACUGAAAGUCUUGAGUAUGGGAGAGGUGAGUGGAACUGCGAGUGUAGAAGGUGAAAUUCGUAGAUUAUCGCAAGAACACCAGUGGCGAAGGCGGCUCACUGGCCCAUAACUGACGCUGAG
rnacentral:rRNA from 1 species